rnacentral:rRNA from 1 species
UACGGGGGGAGCAAGCGUUGUUCGGAUUUACUGGGCGUAAAGGGCGCGUAGGCGGUCAUGACAAGUCACUUGUGAAAUCUCCGGGCUUAACUCGGAACGGUCAAGUGAUACUGUCAGACUAGAGUGCAGAAGGGGCAACUGGAAUUCUCGGUGUAGCGGUGAAAUGCGUAGAUAUCGAGAGGAACACCUGCGGCGAAGGCGGCUCUCUGGGACGGUACUGACGCUGAGACGCGAAAGCGUGGGGAGCGAACAGG